CAGUCGGACGAAGAUGCCGGAGUGCUUGCACUUUGGCAGACUGAGUGGCGCACGGGUGAGUAACGCGUGGGUAACCUGCCUUAUACAGGGGGAUAACAGUUGGAAACGACUGCUAAUACCGCAUAAGCGCACGGUAUCGCAUGAUACAGUGUGAAAAACUCCGGUGGUAUAAGAUGGACCCGCGUCUGAUUAGCUUGUUGGUGAGGUAACGGCUCACCAAGGCGACGAUCAGUAGCCGGCCUGAGAGGGUGAACGGCCACAUUGGGACUGAGACACGGCCCAAACUCCUACGGGAGGCAGCAGUGGGGAAUAUUGCACAAUGGGGGAAACCCUGAUGCAGCGACGCCGCGUGAGUGAUGAAGUAUUUCGGUAUGUAAAACUCUAUCAGCAGGGAAGAUAAUGACGGUACCUGACUAAGAAGCACCGGCUAAAUACGUGCCAGCAGCCGCGGUAAUACGUAUGGUGCAAGCGUUAUCCGGAUUUACUGGGUGUAAAGGGUGCGUAGGUGGUAUGGCAAGUCAGAAGUGAAAGGCUGGGGCUCAACCCCGGGACUGCUUUUGGAACUGUCAAACUAGAGUACAGGAGAGGAAAGCGGAAUUCCUAGUGUAGCGGUGAAAUGCGUAGAUAUUAGGAGGAACACCAGUGGCGAAGGCGGCUUUCUGGACUGAAACUGACACUGAGGCACGAAAGCGUGGGGAGCAAACAGGAUUAGAUACCCUGGUAGUCCACGCCGUANACGAUGAAUACUAGGUGUCGGGCAGNAUAGCUGUUCGGUGCC
rnacentral:rRNA from 1 species